rfam:Coriobacteriales bacterium DNF00809 genomic scaffold Scaffold40, whole genome shotgun sequence.
GGGGGCGACUGGUUUCGACAUGGUAGGUUUGCGGUGAGGAGCAGGUCGUGGUCUCUCGUCCACGUUAAACCCGAGUACCGUCAAAUUUAAUUGGCAAAACUAAUUACUCUGGGCAAUAUGCCCUUGCUGCUUAAUUUAUUAGCAGCCGUCAAUCGUGGUGUUGUCCCUGCGCUGCGUGCGAUGUCAUGUUAGGGGAAUGCUGUUAGAGUGUGAACGCUGCGCUGUAACAAAAGACUGAGCGUUUAGGAAGAGAUCUGUUUGUUAGUGCACAAAGCUCUUCUGAAAUUCAAGCACUAACUAAGCUUGUAGAGCCUGACCAAUGUCCUAGCAUGGACCGGAGUUCGAUUCUCCGCGCCUCCACCA